GAUGAACGCUGGCGGCGUGCCUAAUACAUGCAAGUCGAGCGAACGGACGAGAAGCUUGCUUUUCUGAUGUUAGCGGCGGACGGGUGAGUAACACGUGGAUGACCUACCUAUAAGACUGGGAUAACUUCGGGAAACCGGAGCUAAUACCGGAUAAUAUUUUGAACCGCAUGGUUCAAAAGUGAAAGACGGUCUUGCUGUCACUUAUAGAUGGAUCCGCGCUGCAUAAGCUAGUUGGUAAGGUAACGGCUUACCAAGGCAACGAUGCAUACCCGACCUGAGAGGGUGAACGCCCACACUGUAACUGAGACACGGUCCAGACUCCUACGGGAGGCAGCAGUAGGGAAUCUUCCGCAAUGGGCGAAAGCCUGACGGAGCAACGCCGCGUGAGUGAUGAAGGUCUUCGGAUCGUAAAACUCUGUUAUUAGGGAAGAACAUAUGUGUAAGUAACUGUGCACAUCUUGACGGUACCUAAUCAGAAAGCCACGGCUAACUACGUG
rnacentral:rRNA from 1 species